CACGCCGUAAACGUUGGGCACUAGGUGUGGGUUCCAACCAACGGAAUCCGUGCCGCAGCUAACGCAUUAAGUGCCCCGCCUGGGGNAGGCAACGCGAAGAACCUUACCUGGGUUUGACAUUCUGGGAAAAGCCGUAGAGAUACGGUGUCCGAAAGGGUCCAGAACAGGUGG
rnacentral:rRNA from 1 species